GAUGAACGCUAGCGGCAGGCUUAACACAUGCAAGUCGAGGGGUAUAGUAGCAAUACUAGAGACCGGCGCACGGGUGCGUAACGCGUAUGCAAUCUACCUUUUGCAGAGGGAUAGCCCAGAGAAAUUUGGAUUAAUACCUCAUAGUAUAUAUGGAUGGCAUCAUUUAUAUAUUAAAGUCACAACGGCAAAAGAUGAGCAUGCGUCCCAUUAGCUUGUUGGUAAGGUAACGGCUUACCAAGGCAACGAUGGGUAGGGGUCCUGAGAGGGAGAUCCCCCACACUGGUACUGAGACACGGACCAGACUCCUACGGGAGGCAGCAGUGAGGAAUAUUGGACAAUGGGCGCAAGCCUGAUCCAGCCAUGCCGCGUGCAGGAUGACGGUCCUAUGGAUUGUAAACUGCUUUUGCUACAGGAAGAAACAACGCUACGUGUAGCGUACUUGACGGUACUGUGAGAAUAAGGAUCGGCUAACUCCGUACG
rnacentral:rRNA from 1 species